rnacentral:rRNA from 1 species
UGGGGAAUAUUGCACAAUGGGCGCAAGCCUGAUGCAGCCAUGCCGCGUGUAUGAAGAAGGCCUUCGGGUUGGAAAGUACUUUCAGUCGGGAGGAAGGUGUCAAGGUUAAUAACCUUGGCAAUUGACGUUACCGACAGAAGAAGCACCGGCUAACUCCGUGCCAGCAGCCGCGGUAAUACGGAGGGUGCAAGCGUUAAUCGGAAUUACUGGGCGUAAAGCGCACGCAGGCGGUUGAUUGAGUCAGAUGUGAAAUCCCCGGGCUUAACCCGGGAAUUGCAUCUGAUACUGGUCAGCUAGAGUCUGGGAGAGGGGGGUAGAAUUCCAUGUGUAGCGGUGAAAUGCGUAGAGAUGUGGAGGAAUACCGGUGGCGAAGGCGGCCCCCUGGACAAAGACUGACGCUCAGGUGCGAAAGCGUGGGGAGCAACCAGG